CCUACGGGAGGCAGCAGUGGGGCAUAUUGCACAAUGGGGGAAACCCUGAUGCAGCGAAGCCGCGUGAGUGAAGCAGUAAUUCGUUAUGUAAAGCUCUAUCAGCAGGGAAGAAAAUGCCGGUACGUGAGUAAGAAGCCCCGGCUAACUACGGGCCAGCAUACGCGGUAAUACGUAGGGGGCAAGCGUUAUCCUGAUUUACUGGGUGUAAAGGGAGCGUAGACGGCAGUGCAAGUCUGGAGUGAAAGGCGGGGGCUCAACCCCCGGACUGCUCUGGAAACGGGACGGCUGGAGUUCAGGAGAGGUAAGGUGAAUUCGUAGUGUAGCGGUGAAAUGCAUAGAUAUUAGGAGGAA
rnacentral:rRNA from 1 species